UACGAAGGGGGCUAGCGUUGCUCGGAAUGCCUGGGCGUAAAGGGCGCGUAGGCGGAUGGCACAGUCAGAUGUGAAAUUCCUGGGCUUAACCUGGGGGCUGCAUUUGAUACGUGUGAUCUGGAGUGAGGAAGAGGGUUGUGGAAUUCCCAGUGUAGAGGUGAAAUUCGUAGAUAUUGGGAAGAACACCGGUGGCGAAGGCGGCGACCUGGUCCUUAACUGACGCUGAGGCGCGAAAGCGUGGGGAGCAAACAGG
rnacentral:rRNA from 1 species